AUUGAACGCUGGCGGCAGGCCUAACACAUGCAAGUCGAACGGUAACAGGAAGCAGCUUGCUGCUUCGCUGACGAGUGGCGGACGGGUGAGUAAUGUCUGGGAAGCUGCCUGAUGGAGGGGGAUAACUACUGGAAACGGUAGCUAAUACCGCAUAAUGUCGCAAGACCAAAGAGGGGGACCUUCGGGCCUCUUGCCAUCGGAUGUGCCCAGAUGGGAUUAGCUUGUUGGUGGGGUAACGGCACACCAAGGCGACGAUCCCUAGCUGGUCUGAGAGGAUGACCAGCCACACUGGAACUGAGACACGGUCCAGACUCCUACGGGAGGCAGCAGUGGGGAAUAUUGCACAAUGGGCGCAAGCCUGAUGCAGCCAUGCCGCGUGUAUGAAGAAGGCCUUCGGGUUGUAAAGUACUUUCAGCGGGGAGGAAGGGAGUAAAGUUAAUACCUUUGCUCAUUGACGUUACCCGCAGAAGAAGCACCGGCUAACUCCGUG
rnacentral:rRNA from 1 species